rnacentral:rRNA from 1 species
UGAACGCUGGCGGCAGGCCUAACACAUGCAAGUCGAGCGGAUGAAGGGAGCUUGCUCCUGGAUUCAGCGGCGGACGGGUGAGUAAUGCCUAGGAAUCUGCCUGGUAGUGGGGGAUAACGUCCGGAAGCGGGCGCUAAUACCGCAUACGUCCUGAGGGAGAAAGUGGGGGAUCUUCGGACCUCACGCUAUCAGAUGAGCCUAGGUCGGAUUAGCUAGUUGGUGGGGUAAAGGCCUACCAAGGCGACGAUCCGUAACUGGUCUGAGAGGAUGAUCAGUCACACUGGAACUGAGACACGGUCCAGACUCCUACGGGAGGCAGCAGUGGGGAAUAUUGGACAAUGGGCGAAAGCCUGAUCCAGCCAUGCCGCGUGUGUGAAGAAGGUCUUCGGAUUGUAAAGCACUUUAAGUUGGGAGGAAGGGCAGUAAGUUAAUACCUUGCUGUUUUGACGUUACCAACAGAAUAAGCACCGGCUAACUUCGUG